rnacentral:lncRNA from 1 species
GUAACGCGUACCUAUAUAUAGUAUACGAUAUUAUUACAACCUAAGCCGCCCGACGAUCGUAACGGAACGUUUCGUAAUGCGACUGCGACGACGAAUUUUAUAACCGCAAAAAAAAAAAAACACUACUAACAGGUGUAUAUAUUUACGAUUGCGAUAGAUGCGGCAGUACCUCGAGUAUAGUUGCUAUCGUAUACGCUCGCCAAUCUCCCGUUUUGCGUUUUAUAUCGGAUUCGUGAUUGUUUAACCGCCGCGGUCAUAUCAUUAUAAUACUAAGUAACGGCGGUAUUAUUAUCAUUACGCUAACAUCGUUAUUAUUGGCCUCGGUCAAUAUUUUACACGUUAUCCGCGCGAGGGUAUUCCGUUUGAAAAACGAAAAAAUCGUCGGCAUAAAUAACGGAUACCCUCCUAUUUUAUCGUUAUUCGAACGAAGGGCGCGGGGAAAAAACCGGAAAAGUCACUUAUUUUUGUCAAUCCGAGAAAAAUGUGUUUUCAAUUUCAAAACGUAACGAUUUUUGUUUACAAAGUAAAAAGUUCGGACUAAAUUAAACGCUAAAACUUUGAUGAUGGUAACCAUAGAACAAUAAUGUCAUAUUAUAUAGCCACGAGACAUUUCUCUGGUUAUCAGUUGACUUUUCUGUUUUUUCCCUGUAUCCUUCAAAUUUAUAAAGUUUUAUAGAUUGACCGUGGUUUUCCGAAUUAUUGUCUACGACUUUUGUACGAUUUGAAAUUAUAAUUUAAAACGGCCACGUUAAUGACAAUGAUUUUUCCACUGACUUACUGUCCGAUACCCGUUUAAGGAGAACAGGUAAAGCCGGAUAAAAGCGAGACGGGUCGGGUGCGAGGCGCUGGUUCAUUCCCACGUCGCCGACUCCCAUUUUGCCAACAACAUUUUAUUUUGUUAAUAUUUAUCUGUGACGUACGUUUAUCGAAGUAGGUUUACUCAUGAUUCCAUCCUACUAUAGCUCAUGUCAAAAAACUCGUUUUCGUUAUCGUUUUUACAGGGAUUACACUAGUUUUCUUAAAUUGUCACUGUACAAAACUGCAAAACUGUACUAAACUUAAAUUAUGAAAAAAAUAAGAAUAUUUCUUUUGAACAUCUAUAUAAUCGUUGAUUCAAUUCAACUGUUUUUGUAUUUUAAUACUAAAUUUAUAUAUUUACUGACGCUCAUGCCGCGAUUGCGGCGCUGGCAUUUCUUUAGUAAUAAUCUCAUUCCAACAAUAAUAUUUCAAUUCAAAAUAGUAAUAUAAUCGAUUUAUGUGUCGGCGAAAUGGGAAGAUUUUUAAUACCUUAUAAAACCGGUUUAUUUGCUGUAAAAUGGGAGCCGGCGACGUGGGAAGAUACGGAAGCGCCAGCGGACCCGUUCGUCCGCUCUCGUAUGCAAAUUUUCCGGCGGGUUUUCACGGGGAGGAUAACCGAUAAAAAAAAGUAUACAUUUUCUCCGAUAGAAGCGAACAAGUAAAAAAAUAUAUUGUUCGUCGAGUCUUAUACGAAUAACCACCGCACCGACGCCCUAAAGAAGCGACAAAAUGUCGUUAUCAUCGCGUAAUAUACCG